rnacentral:rRNA from 1 species
GACGAACGCUGGCGGCGUGCUUAACACAUGCAAGUCGAACGAUGAAGCCCAGCUUGCUGGGUGGAUUAGUGGCGAACGGGUGAGUAGCACGUGAGUAACCUGCCCUGGACUCUGGGAUAACCCCGAGAAAUCGGAGCUAAUACCGGAUAGGACCUUUCCUCGCAUGAGGUUUGGUGGAAAGUUUUUCGGUUUGGGAUGGACUCGCGGCCUAUCAGCUUGUUGGUGAGGUAAUGGCUCACCAAGGCGUCGACGGGUAGCCGGCCUGAGAGGGUGACCGGUCACACUGGGACUGAGACACGGCCCAGACUCCUACGGGAGGCAGCAGUGGGGAAUAUUGCACAAUGGGCGCAAGCCUGAUGCAGCAACGCCGCGUGCGGGAUGACGGCCUUCGGGUUGUAAACCGCUUUUAGUAGGGAAGAAGCCUUCGGGUGACGGUACCUGCAGAAAAAGGACCGGCUAACUACGUGCCAGCCGCCGCGGUAAAAC